GACAGAGGGGGCAAGCGUUGCUCGGAAUUACUGGGCGUAAAGGGCUCGUAGGUGGCCAACUAAGUCAGACGUGAAAUCCCUCGGCUUAACCGGGGAACUGCGUCUGAUACUGGUUGGCUUGAGUUUGGGAGAGGGACGCGGAAUUCCAGGUGUAGCGGUGAAAUGCGUAGAUAUCUGGAGGAACACCGGUGGCGAAGGCGGCAUCCUGGACCAAUAUUGACGCUGAGGAGCGAAAGCCAGGGGAGCAAAGCGGGG
rnacentral:rRNA from 1 species